rnacentral:rRNA from 1 species
UACGUAGGGGGCAAGCGUUGUCCGGAUUUAUUGGGCGUAAAGAGCGUGUAGGCGGCCGCACAGGUCCGUUGUGAAAACUGGAGGCUUAACCUUCAGACGUCGAUGGAAACCGUGCGGCUAGAGUCCGGAAGAGGAGAAUGGAAUUCCUGGUGUAGCGGUGAAAUGCGCAGAUAUCAGGAGGAACACCGGUGGCGAAGGCGCUCAUCUGGCCCAAUACUGACGCUGAGGCGCGAAAGCUAGGGGAGCAAACGGG